GUGAGGAGUGAUCACAUGCGUGGUGAGACACAGACCGAGUUACCAGAAGAACAGCCCCAAAACCCCCAGCAGAGACUGAACAACUGCUUCAUUCCUUCACAGCAAUGUUCUCUGAUUGGAAAUUUAAAGAGCAGAUUUCCAGCGUCCACAUUAUUUUACUUCUAUAUAAAACAUGAGGAAUGUUUGUAAUGUCGACAGCACCAUGGCUCAUGGGAAAGAGGGAAUCGCCAUUUGCCAAAAAUAACACAUGAUAUGGGGAGAGCUUUUGGCACUUUUAAGCAGUGUCCUUAUUAUGAUAGGA